GAGGUCACGUGGGAUUGCUUGAAAAUGGCGAAACGAAACUUGUGAAUCGUGCAUUUGCUCUUCUUGGUAGCUGCCAGAAAAUCGAAUCAAGCUUAUGGGACACUGGAUUACAGGUUGCUGCCACUACUCCAUGUGCCCGCAAUUGUCUUGCGUGUAUGAUUACACUAACGGCGUCGCCCACCACGGCGGAAGUGUUUUGCGUACACGCGUUUCAGCAUGAAGCCUGCAGGUGGACGUAAAUUGUAGAAGGCAGCUAGUGGGGGAGAAGAUCAUGGUCAUAGGUCAUGUGACUCCUGGAGCUCCCAGUGGGCUCCCUUGUGGAGUACUUUUCAGAACACACACACAUACAGUUUGCUCACAGAACCAACGAGUAGGAUGUUGCUUGAAUACUGAGAGAAAAUGGCGUAACACAUACAAAUAUCGUGUGACACAUAUGACAAUAAAAACAUUUUUCACGAGGGAUGCAUGAAACACUGUCGCAAUAUUGUGUGCAUGAACCAUUGUGUGUGACACAA